rnacentral:tRNA from 1 species
GGCAGGUUGCCCGAGCGGCCAAUGGGAGCGGACUGUAAAUCCGUCGGCGUGAGCCUACCCAGGUUCGAAUCCUGGACCUGCCA